CGGUGUGUAGCGCAGCUUGGUAGCGCACUUCGCUGGGGGCGAAGGGGUCGUAGGUUCGAAUCCUAUCACACCGACCA
rnacentral:tRNA from 1 species